ensembl:lncRNA
UGACAUUAGGAGAUUAUGUCCCCUCCCUCACACACUCAUACAUCCUUUCCAAAUUUCCUAUUGAUUACUUCCCCAGAGUGAAAGAGGCAGGAAACAGGAAUAUCCUCUCAUGGAUGUGGUUGCCAUCUUGACUGGUGUGGUUAGCACUAAAUCCAUUAGCAUUAAUACUCCCCAUAAGAAGCUUUGGAUAAGUAGCUUUAAAACUCUGGAUGAUCAACAAAGAAAUAGAUUUUCUUGGGGGAGGGUGAAUAUGUUAGAAAAGAAGACAGGAAGGAGGCAGAUGCGCUGAGUCACAGUAGACAAAACUGAUCCUGAAAAAAAUAUGGGAAUCCAAGGCUAAUUGAAGUAAUUACCAGGGUUUGUGAGCCCCUGCCUUCCUAUUGGUGCAACUUUCUUUCUUCCACCCUCCCUGCCCCUCUUAGACUCACUCGGUAUGUGAGUUGCCAUUGAAGCUUGAUAGGCCAUGUCUGAACCAGGUGCCGUGAAUGUACCCAAGGUUAUAUUACCUAGAUUCUUAGCUUGUCACAGUGGUCCCCCAAGAAGAAAUCAGUGUGGAUCCUAUAAAGCAGUGCUUCUCAAACCUUACUGUGUAUAACAGUGACCUUAGAAAUCUUGUUAAAAUGCACAUUCUGAUUCUAGAAGUUUGGAAUGGGACCAGAGAUUCAGUCUUUCAGAGAUGCCUCUGCUCUUUGUUCUGGGGCCACACACUGAGGAGCAACAUCCUACAACACUGGUUCUUAAAUCUCUAUGCAGCUGAAGGUUUCCUACAAUGCUUUUUAUAAAUGACCAACACUCCUUCCCAGAUCAAUGAAAUCAGAAUGGGGAGAGGGGGGUGAGGUGAGUGGAACAGGUAAUAAAACUUUGUAAAAGUUACCUAGGUGACUAAAAUGUGCUGCUAUGUUUGAGACCCACCAAUCCAUCCUAAUCCUAGUGAAAUCAAAUGACCCUCACUUAUCUCUCUGUUCUGUUCCACCAGCUGCCAAGUCUUAAGUCUUCACAACCAGCGAUAAAAACCCUCUUCCCACUCUCUGGUGCUGUCAGCUCGACAUCCUACUUUUCACUCCCUUUUACAUCAUUCCUCUCCUGCUACCUGCUUUUCAGUCCUCGACAUGCUCUUGUUUUGACAACAGCCCUCCUGCCUUGGUCCCUCCAGCCUUGACCCUAAGUAGCUUCCUGUUUUUGCUUAUCUCUGAGUUCACCUGCAAUUUCAGUUGUGGAAGAGCAGAAAGAAGAAAGUAUCUAAAAUUGGACACUUGUCCGUGAUCAGAAUAUAAAGAAAACUAAGCACUACAGGACUCUAUUGUCAAGUACAAGCCACGCUGAUGCUUAGAUGACAUCCCACUCUUUCGCAGGAGACCCUGUGGUGUGGCUCAGAGAUAACAGUCUUUUCAGGGAUAUUCUUAUUAAGACAUUUUGCAUUUAUGUGACACUUUUUUAUCUUCAAAGGAAGAUAUUACAAAAAUUUAUUUACAAUACCCUAUAAAAAUGGGCCAUUAUUUUUUUCACUAUGUAGAUCAGACAAAUUAUGAAAAGUGAAAAAUUCGCCUUGGGCCAUAAAUAAAACAGUAAAAUAAG